GGUUAAGUUAAUAAGGGCGCACGGUGGAUGCCUUGGCACUAGAAGCCGAUGAAGGACGUGACUAACGACGAAAUGCCUUGGGGAGCUGUAAGUAAGCAAUGAUCCAGGGAUGUCCGAAUGGGGGAACCCGGCAGGUAAUGCCUGUCACUCACUACUGUUAAGGUAGUGUAGAGGAAGACGCAGUGAACUGAAACAUCUAAGUAGCUGCAGGAAGAGAAAGCAAAAGCGAUUGCCUUAGUAGCGGCGAGCGAAACGGCAGGAGGGCAAACCGAGGAGUUUACUCCUCGGGGUUGUAGGACUGCAAUGUGGACUUAAAGAGUAUAGAAGAACUACCUGGGAAGGUAGGCCAAAGAGAGUAAUAGCCUCGUAUUUGAAAUAUUCUUUAUACCUAGCAGUAUCCUGAGUACGGCGAGACACGCGAAAUCUCGUCGGAAUCCGGGAGGACCAUCUCCCAACCCUAAAUACUCUCUAGUGACCGAUAGUGAACCAGUACCGUGAGGGAAAGGUGAAAAGUACCCCGGAAGGGGAGUGAAAUAGAACCUGAAACCGUGUGCCUACAACAAGUUCGAGCCCGUUAAUGGGUGAGAGCGUGCCUUUUGUAGAAUGAACCGGCGAGUUACGAUAUGAUGCGAGGUUAAGUUGAAGAGACGGAGCCGUAGGGAAACCGAGUCUUAAUAGGGCGAGUUAGUAUUAUGUCGUAGACCCGAAACCAUGUGACCUACCCAUGAGCAGGUUGAAGGUGCGGUAAGACGCACUGGAGGACCGAACCAGGGCACGUUGAAAAGUGCUUGGAUGACUUGUGGGUAGCGGAGAAAUUCCAAACGAACUUGGAGAUAGCUGGUUCUCUCCGAAAUAGCUUUAGGGCUAGCGUCGACAUUUGAGAAUCUUGGAGGUAGAGCACUGUUUGGAUGAGGGGGCCAUCUCGGUUUACUGAUUUCAGAUAAACUCCGAAUGCCAAUGAUUUAUGGUCGGCAGUCAGACUGCGAGUGCUAAGAUCCGUAGUCGAAAGGGAAACAGCCCAGACCACCAGCUAAGGUCCCAAAAUAAUUGUUAAGUGGAAAAGGAUGUGGGGUUGCACAGACAACUAGGAUGUUAGCUUAGAAGCAGCUAUUCAUUCAAAGAGUGCGUAAUAGCUCACUAGUCGAGUGACCCUGCGCCGAAAAUGUACCGGGGCUAAAACAAUUUACCGAAGCUGUGGAUAACACAUUAGUGUUAUGGUAGGAGAGCGUUCUAUGUGUGAAGAAGGUAUACCGUGAGGAGUGCUGGAACGCAUAGAAGUGAGAAUGCCGGUAUGAGUAGCGAAAGAUGGGUGAGAAUCCCAUCCACCGUAAGACUAAGGUUUCCAGGGGAAGGCUCGUCCGCCCUGGGUUAGUCGGGACCUAAGGAGAGACCGAAGGGUGUAUCCGAUGGACAACAGGUUGAUAUUCCUGUACUAGAGUAUGAAGUGAUGGAGGGACGCAGUAGGCUAACUAAAGCGGGCGAUUGGAAGUGCCCGUCUAAGCAGUGAGGUGUGAUAUGAGUCAAAUGCUUGUAUCUGUAACAUUGAGCUGUGAUGGGGAGCGAAGUUAAGUAGCGAAGUUGGUGACGUCACACUGCCGAGAAAAGCUUCUAGCGAUGUAUCAUACUCUACCCGUACCGCAAACCGACACAGGUAGUCGAGGCGAGUAGCCUCAGGUGAGCGAGAGAACUCUCGUUAAGGAACUCGGCAAAAUGACCCCGUAACUUCGGGAGAAGGGGUGCUGGCUUAUAGUCAGCCGCAGUGAAUAGGCCCAAGCAACUGUUUAUCAAAAACACAGCUCUCUGCUAAAUCGUAAGAUGAUGUAUAGGGGGUGACGCCUGCCCGGUGCUGGAAGGUUAAGAGGAGGGUUUAGCGCAAGCGAAGAUCUGAAUUGAAGCCCCAGUAAACGGCGGCCGUAACUAUAACGGUCCUAAGGUAGCGAAAUUCCUUGUCGGGUAAGUUCCGACCCGCACGAAAGGCGUAAUGAUUUGGGCACUGUCUCAACGAGAGACUCGGUGAAAUUUUAGUACCUGUGAAGAUGCAGGUUACCCGCGACAGGACGGAAAGACCCCAUGGAGCUUUACUGCAGUUUGAUAUUGAGUAUCUGUACCACAUGUACAGGAUAGGUAGGAGCCUACGAAGUCGGGACGCCAGUUUCGACUGAGGCGCUGUUGGGAUACUACCCUUGUGUUAUGGCUACUCUAACCCGGAUAGGUUAUCCCUAUCGGAGACAGUGUCUGACGGGCAGUUUGACUGGGGCGGUCGCCUCCUAAAAGGUAACGGAGGCGCCCAAAGGUUCCCUCAGAAUGGUUGGAAAUCAUUCG
rnacentral:rRNA from 1 species